GACGAACGCUGGCGGCGUGCCUAACACAUGCAAGUCGAGCGAGAAUUUCACGACGGAAUCCUUCGGGAUGAAGAUGUGAAAGGAAAGCGGCGGACGGGUGAGUAACGCGUGAGUAACCUGCCUAUCAGAGGGGGACAACAUUUCGAAAGGAAUGCUAAUACCGCAUAAAAUAACAGUACCGCAUGAUACAGUUAUCAAAGAUUUAUCGCUGAUAGAUGGACUCGCGUCUGAUUAGAUAGUUGGUGAGGUAACGGCCCACCAAGGCGACGAUCAGUAGCCGGCCUGAGAGGGUGAACGGCCACAUUGGGACUGAGACACGGCCCAAAACUCCUACGGGAGGCAGCAGUGGGGAAUAUUGCACAAUGGGGGAAACCCUGAUGCAGCGACGCCGCGUGAAGGAAGAAGGUUUUCGGAUCGUAAACUCUUUAAGUUGGGAAGAUAAUGACGGUACAACAGAAUAAGCCACGGCUAACUACGUGCCAGCAGCC
rnacentral:rRNA from 1 species